UUUAUUGGAGAGUUUGAUCCUGGCUCAGGAUGAACGCUGGCGGCGUGCCUAAUACAUGCAAGUCGAGCGAACGGAUUAAGAGCUUGCUCUUAUGAAGUUAGCGGCGGACGGGUGAGUAACACGUGGGUAACCUGCCCAUAAGACUGGGAUA
rnacentral:rRNA from 1 species